rnacentral:ncRNA from 1 species
CAAAGGUUUGGUCCUGACUUUACUAUCAGCUCUAGCUAGACUUACACAUGCAAGUAUCCGCACCCCCGUGAGAAUGCCCCAACAGUUCCCUGCCCGGGAACGAGGAGCUGGUAUCAGGCACAGUACUAACCAGCCCACGACACCUUGCUUAGCCACACCCUCAAGGGAAUCCAGCAGUGAUAGACAUUAAGCCAUGAGUGAAAACUUGACUUAGUCAAAGCUAAGAGGGCCGGUAAAACUCGUGCCAGCCACCGCGGUUAUACGAGAGGCCCGAGCUGAUAGUUGCCGGCGUAAAGAGUGGUUAAGAUCAAUUAAAAACUAAAGCCAAAAGCCCUCACAGCUGUUAUACGCACUCGAGAGUAGGAAGCCCAACUACGAAAGUGGCUUUACAACAUCUGAACCCACGAAAGCUAGGGUACAAACUGGGAUUAGAGACCCCACUAUGCCCAGCCUUAAACAUUGACAGUACAUUACAAAUACCGUCCGCCCGGGAACUACGAGCACCAGCUUAAAACCCAAAGGACUUGGCGGUGCUUUAGAUCCACCUAGAGGAGCCUGUUCUAGAACCGAUGAUCCCCGUUCAACCUCACCCUUCCUUGUUCAUCCCGCCUAUAUACCACCGUCGUCAGCUUACCCUGUGAAGGCCCAAUAGUAAGCAAAAUUGGCACUGCCCAAAACGCCAGGUCGAGGUGUAGCGUAUGGAGGGGGAAGCAAUGGGCUACAUUCACUAACAAUAGUGUACACGAACAGCGCACUGAAACGUGCACAUUGAAGGAGGAUUUAGCAGUAAGCGGGAAAUAGAGCGUUCCGCUGAAAUUGGCCCUGAAGCGCGCACACACCGCCCGUCACUCUCCCCAAGCUCCACUAGCCUAAAUGCCUAAAACCUAAAAAAUGCAUAAGGGGAGGCAAGUCGUAACAUGGUAAGCGUACCGGAAGGUGCGCUUGGAAAAAC